GAUGAACGCUGGCUACAGGCUUAACACAUGCAAGUCGAGGGGAAACGACGGGGAAGCUUGCUUCCCCGGGCGUCGACCGGCGCACGGGUGAGUAACGCGUAUCCAACCUGCCUCUGACUGAGGGAUAACCCGUCGAAAGUCGGCCUAAUACCUCAUGGUAUCGUCUGCGGGCAUCCAACGACGAUUAAAGAUUUCAUCGGUCAGGGAUGGGGAUGCGUCUGAUUAGCUUGUUGGCGGGGUAACGGCCCACCAAGGCUACGAUCAGUAGGGGUUCUGAGAGGAAGGUCCCCCACAUUGGAACUGAGACACGGUCCAAACUCCUACGGGAGGCAGCAGUGAGGAAUAUUGGUCAAUGGGCGAGAGCCUGAACCAGCCAAGUAGCGUGCAGGAAGACGGCCCUAUGGGUGGUAAACUGCUUUUAUGCGGGGAUAAAGUGAGGGACGUGUCCCUCAUUGCAGGUACCGCAUGAAUAAGGACCGGCUAAUUCCGUG
rnacentral:rRNA from 1 species